AAGACUAUAGACCUGCGGAGUACCUGCGGAGGGAUCAUUACUGAGUAUUUGUCUUUUCAAGACAUUUCUCUAUCCAUAAACUCUUUUUUUUAAAAAGACAUGAUUUAUAACAAUUAGUCUGAAUGAUUAUUUUUAAAUCUUCAAAACUUUCAGCAAUGGAUCUCU
rnacentral:misc_RNA from 1 species